rnacentral:rRNA from 1 species
GACAGAGGUGCCGAGCGUUAGGCGGAAUCACUGGGCUUAAAGCGUCUGCAGGUGGUUUCCUAAGUCCACUGUUAAACCUUGAGGCUCAACCUCAAAUCCGCAUUGGAAACUAGGAGACUUGAGUAUAGUAGGGGGAGAGGGAAUUUCCAGUGGAGCGGUGAAAUGCGUAGAUAUUGGAAAGAACACCGAUGGCGAAGGCACUCUACUGGGCUAUUACUGACACUCAGAGACGAAAGCUAGGGGAGCAAAUGGG